UGGGGAAUAUUGGACAAUGGGCGCAAGCCUGAUCCAGCCAUGCCGCGUGAGUGAUGAAGGCCCUAGGGUUGUAAAGCUCUUUCACCGGUGAAGAUAAUGACGGUAACCGGAGAAGAAGCCCCGGCUAACUUCGUGCCAGCAGCCGCGGUAAUACGAAGGGGGCUAGCGUUGUUCGGAUUUACUGGGCGUAAAGCGCACGUAGGCGGACUAUUAAGUCAGGGGUGAAAUCCCGGGGCUCAACCCCGGAACUGCCUUUGAUACUGGUAGUCUUGAGUUCGAGAGAGGUGAGUGGAAUUCCGAGUGUAGAGGUGAAAUUCGUAGAUAUUCGGAGGAACACCAGUGGCGAAGGCGGCUCACUGGCUCGAUACAGACGCUGAGGUGCGAAAGCGUGGGGAGCAAACAGG
rnacentral:rRNA from 1 species